rnacentral:lncRNA from 1 species
UAACAAGGUCUUGAACCUUGGUCUUUAGGGGAUAACAGUUCUCCACAUCAUGUCUGGGAGCACCAGAAUGAUAAACACAGUGAAGCUCGGGCUUGUACCACCAUUGAGGGUUGGCCGGUAUAGCAGGUGGGUCACGUGGAGUGAUCAGCUUUCUGUCUAUCAAUGACGGAUAGAGCUCAACAUAGGUCAUUGGAUGUGGAUCAAAAGUGAAUCUUCCUAUCAUAGCUAGUGUUGG